AGUUGUGGAGAUCAGUUCCAACUGAUACAUUAUAACGUAACUCCCACACCUAAGGUUCAGGUGAAUGUUGCAGAAGAGCAGGAGGAAAGACUGUGAGAGCCAGAGGAUCAGGAGUUUGCUGUGAGAUUGUGUCUCCUAGUAAUAUCAGAAGCUACACCCAUAACGUCUCACCAACGUGACUGCCUCAGCAUGAGCUGAACAAGGACAACAAGAGGCCAGGAGGCCUCAACUCCAUACAAGGAACUCCAGUAAGAGAUGUUACUCCUCAAACUAUUAUCUCCUGAGAGUCAGAGGAGAGAUCUGAAGAGUGCAACAGAUGUGGAAGGCAUUCAGACAGACAGCAGAGGUGCUCCUCCCUCUGUCACCUGGGAUGGCAUAACCACUUCAACUGCUCAGGCCUUCAGGCAUCUCAGGGGAAACUGCUGUAUUCCCUGAGUCAGCAAACGCGAGUGCGGACACGACAGGUGACCAGGACUGCCGGUGUGGUGGAGAAGGCGCAAGGAAAAGAAUUCUUUGACAAUAAAUAUCUAUC